GUUUUCACUUGCCUCAAUAGGUCUUUGCAAGCAAAUUUCAUUGUCCAAUGAAUGAGGGGUACUCAUAAGUGGGCUGAUACAUGUGCAGGUACCACUUAAAAGUGCAGGUACCACUUAAAAGUGCAGGUACCACUUAAAAGACAUCUGGUCCACAGUUAAGUGGUUGGUGUUAGGAAGGGCAUCCAGCUGUAAAAACCUUCCCAAAACUGACCUCGCCUGUGCUUGUACCAUGUAAAAAGCACUAAGUUCACUCUACUGAGUGGUUGGUGUUAGGAAGGGCAUCCAGCUGUAAAGACCUUGCCAAAAUUGACCUCGCCUGUGCUUGUGCCAUGUGAGAAUCACUAAGUCCAUUCAGCUCAGUGGUUGGUGUUCAGAAGGGCAUCCAGCUGUAAAAAUCCUGCCAAAACUGACCUCGCCUGUGCUUGUGCCAUGU
rnacentral:lncRNA from 1 species